CUGUAGAAAGAAGAGCGCCUUACAGCUGCUAAGAACGGAUUGUUUUCACCAAAUAUUUGCAUGGGAGCCGUGCAUUGACACUGUGUGCUUUGGAUUUCAGGGAGCAGGCUGAUGCCUCUUGGGGCAUCUUCUGUACCUGGCAGCAUCUUUAGCUCCUCUCACUGCAGAGGUCGCCGAAGUUCUGUCUUCAUUCUUGCUGGGAGAAUGGAAGAAGCCCAAACCCUGUCUACUGACCUGAAUCAGAAGGAAGGAAGAACACAAAGUCUUGGAACUGUGACUUUAUCCAUAAAGAAAAGAAAAGCAAAAACUCCAGCUUUCAGGUUAGAUGGCAUCACUACCUCAAUGGACAUGAAUUUGAGCAAACUACCAGAGACAGUAAAGGACAGAGAAGCCUGCUGUGCUGCAGUCCAUGGGGUCGCAAAGAGGCAGACAUGCCUUAGAGACUGAACAGCAACACGUAUCUGUUGAGAAAUUAUUAUGUUGUUUGCCAGGGGUUGGAUAUCCAAAGAUGAACAAGUUCCUUAACUUUGAGGAGCUUAAAGUUAGUGAUGGAAGCAUGCUCAGUGGCUCAAUCAUGUCCAACUCUUUGAGACCCCUGGAACUGUAGCCCACCAGGCUCCUCUGCCCAUGGAAUUUUCCAGGUAAGAACACUCAAUUGGGUUGCCAUUUCCUACUCCAGGGGGUCUUCCUGACUCAGAGAUCAAAUCUUAGUCUCCUACAUUGCAGACAGAUUCUUUACCACUCUGCCACCUGGGAAACCCCAGGUAUACAUGUAAGAACAAGGUGAUAUGAGUGGGUGAUAUUACUUUGAGGAGAAGUAGGAAUUUGUCGAGAUGAAAAUGGGAGAAAAGGCCAUUCUAGAGAGAUGCUGUAUAGCGUGUGCCAAAGGUUAACCGUCAGCCAAGACUGCGGAUUACUGAUCAGACGAGUGAGAAGUCUGGGGUGACCAGGGCACAGUACCCUUCUCUCUCUGCUGAGUAGGUACCCCCACCAGCCACACUACUCAGGGCUCAGCAAAAGAUGAGAGCAGCGAUCACCCAUAACCCUGAUGCUCAGAUAGGGAGCAGGGUACUAAUUCAUUUCCAAGAGGGACCACCAAGCUUAUGAGGUCCCAGAAACUUGUGAAAU
rnacentral:lncRNA from 1 species